AGCAGCCGGGGACCCUGGAUGGUGCCAAUAAGAAGAGUGCCCUCAUCACCACAUCUUGUAAUCCACACUGCACAUGUAGUAUGAACUACAAUAAACCUUUGUUGUGUUAAGCCAUUGAGAGUUGUGUGUGUGUGUGUGUGUGUGUGUGUGUGUGUGUUGUGGUUGGGGGGAUUGCUCCUACAGCCUAACCUAUUUUCUGCUGACUGGUCCACUGGCAUUCAGCUGAUGGUGUAAUCCAUCAUCCACAAGCCCAAAACUGCUAGGAAAACAACUUUUGGGUCUGUUUGGUAUGGUCUUCAUUUUCUGUUGUGAGGUAGGGAGUGGGAAGGAGGGGCAAGUUCUUUCAAGUAGAAGGAAACUGUUGUUAUAACCACCACUAGGAAUCACUUCCUCAUCGCAAACGGCUGGCUCCUAGUUCAGUUAAGAGCUGAAAUUAGUUCUCGUACAUUGUCACACCUGUACUGGGUGCAGCGGUUAAACAGAUGCAGUAAACCAUAGGGUCACAUACAGUCUUCUUUAGAAGGAGGAUUAACUCAAGUGCACUGAAUAAUUAAUUUUGGAUCCUUGUGGUCGGCACAGAAUCUCAGGUGCUGCUUUGCUGCCUCCUUGUCGUGGCCUUCCGCAUCUUCGACUCCGUGAUCAACCAAUCCCGCUCCAUAAUCUUCCACUCACCAUGUCCCAUCUGCUGACAUCACCAGUAGCUGAUAAUGUAAAAUCUAGUCAUCUUGUGGCCCUUCCCUACCACAUUUUUCUCUAGUCCUUCCUGGGUUUGAAAUGAAUGUGCAUAAAGAAAACUUUCUUCCUCUUGCUUUCAA